ensembl:lncRNA
CUUUGAGCGAAAAGCUGUAGUCGGCCACAAGGUGACAUCCGAGCCGACCGGGCUGGCGUCAAAACGGCAGCUUCAACCUCCCAGCCCCGUGUCACGUGGCGGGGAAGGCAGGACCCAGACGCAGAGCUUUGGGAAACUAAAAGACUGAUAGUCAAGACUUCAAAUCAAAAAAAGGCCAAGGGAUAAAAAUGCAGACAGGAACCAGGAACCCUCAGACCCCGUUUACACGAUGGGGAAACGUGUGGGCCUUUCAUUUACACAAAAACUGAGGUUUUAUCACGGAAAACGAUCGUUUCUAAAAGUGGAGAUUUCUGAAAACUCAGUGUUUGUGUUUGCGUGUGAACUCGGUCCAACGGAGUUUUAGGUUGUCAAACGUCACAGUAUGCGACUUGUUGUUGGUUUUGAGAAUUCUGAUUGGUUUGUCUUUAUCCUUCUCGUUACACUGCCGACUACUGGUUUGGCGUAGUUAUGAUGGCGCCCGGGGACGUAUUCAUGCGGGUUCAUAUAAACAGAAACUUUUUUUUGAAAACAGAGGGGCAGAAAUAUUUGUUUCUGUAAAUACUGUAAAUAUGUGUAAAUGUGGCCUCAGACUUGAACUUCCAGAACAUUCAUCAAUGACGUGACACGAGACGCACACGGCUUAAAUACACUGGGAGGUGCAGGUGAUUGGACACAGGUGGAAACAAUCAUGACACGGCAGCCAAUCACAGGACAAGGCAGGAAGUGAAGUUACCAGUGUUAAUUUUGGAAGCUAUUUUUGAUUUAGUCUUAGUCUUUAGAUGAAAAAUGCAUAUUAGCUUUAGUCACAUUUAGUCAUUUUAAUCCUUCUUAGUUUUAGUCUAGUUUUCGUUGACGAAAACUAGACUAAAAUGUAAGUAGUUUUAGUCCCAUUUAAUAGCUUUAUUAAACUCCUUUUCUUCCCUUCUCAGGCCCAGGAACCCCCUGUGUUGUGUCUACAGCUGCAUAAUAGUCCAGCUUGCAGUACUUGGUUGUCCAUUAGAUGUCCCUCCUAGGACAGGCCUAUAGAUGUCCCUCCUAGGACAGGUCUAUAGCAGUGUCAAGAGCAGCUCAGCCUACAUGAGACACACUGUCAGGUCCAAAUGCAUCAGCAGUGAAUUGAAAAGUGAAGUGAAAGUAUUUUACUGCUGGAAUGACAAAUUUUCGUCUCCAGACAGACUUCCUAAUACUUACUGGGUAAAAUAAAUAUGAGCGUUUGCUCUACAGUGCGUUCUGUUCUCCUGGUGUCCUUCCUCAUUCUCUGUGUGUUCUCCUCCGAUCCGUUACGUCCACGUUAGGGGGAGUAGUAGGUCGACCCAAAUGCACAAGCACAGCAGUUUGAUUUGUAGCCAAUGAUUGUAUUUCCCAUACGACCUGGGAAGGGAAAAAGAAAAAACAAACAAGGCAAAUAGUCAAAAGGGGAACAGAAAGUGCUCUUCGGGCUCAACUGGAGUCGGGAGGGAAACUCCACCGACGUCUGUCAGGGGAUAAAGCAGUUCUGGUGUGGAAACCCGAGGCCCGACACCAUAACCAGAGUCUGAUUAAAAGGAGUCACGUGUACUCCGUGGGUCUGACACUGCAG